rnacentral:rRNA from 1 species
AUACGGAGGGGGCUAGCGUUGUUCGGAAUUACUGGGCGUAAAGCGCGCGUAGGCGGAUCGUUAAGUCAGGGGUGAAAGCCCGGAGCUCAACUCCGGAACUGCCCUUGAUACUGGCGACCUCGAGUCCGUGAGAGGUGAGCGGAAUUCCUAGUGUAGAGGUGAAAUUCGUAGAUAUUAGGAGGAACACCAGUGGCGAAGGCGGCUCACUGGCCCGGUACUGACGCUGAGGUGCGAAAGCGUGGGGAGCAAACAGGAUUAGAAACCCUAGUAGUCC